rnacentral:pre_miRNA from 1 species
GAGACACCCCUAUGGAGCAGGACUUGCUUCAGUGGGGCUUUGGUGCUCACUGAGUCUUCGGUUUGAGUGUGUAUCU